rnacentral:rRNA from 1 species
UGGGGAAUUUUGGACAAUGGGCGCAAGCCUGAUCCAGCCAUGCCGCGUGCGGGAAGAAGGCCUUCGGGUUGUAAACCGCUUUUGUCAGGGAAGAAAUCUUCUGAGUUAAUACCUCGGGAGGAUGACGGUACCUGAAGAAUAAGCACCGGCUAACUACGUGCCAGCAGCCGCGGUAAUACGUAGGGUGCAAGCGUUAAUCGGAAUACUGGGCGUAAAGCGUGCGCAGGCGGUUUUGUAAGACAGAGGUGAAAUCCCCGGGCUCAACCUGGGAACUGCCUUUGUGACUGCAAGGCUUGAGUGCGGCAGAGGGGGAUGGAAUUCCGCGUGUAGCAGUGAAAUGCGUAGAUAUGCGGAGGAACACCGAUGGCGAAGGCAAUCCCCUGGGCCUGCACUGACGCUCAUGCACGAAAGCGUGGGGAGCAAACAGGAUUAGAUACCCUGGUAGUCACGCCCUAAACGAUGUCAACUGGUUGUUGGGAAGGUUCCUUCUCAGUAACGUAGCUAACGCGUGAAGUUGACCGCCUGGGGAGUACGGCCGCAAGGUU